rnacentral:antisense_RNA from 1 species
GUGGCUCUCCAUGCCUACCUGUGGUCUCUUGGACACCCUUGCAGAAUAUGACUUCCUGGGAACUCUUCUGGAAGUGAAUGUUGUCAGCAGAUUCCCAAAACAACACCCCUUAGACAAAAAGCCUCCUCACCUAUGCAUUGCCUAGGCCACCCACGAAAGAUGGUGACCACGGAGGAAGUACUUGUGUUGGGCCCAAUGGCCCUCAGCCAGUGUCCAUCUGCCAGGUGCCAGCCCCCGGUGCGCUGAAGCUCAGGCCAUUCCUGGCACCCUGGCCUCCUGCACUGAGCUGUGUGAGCUCUUCUGCCCAGGCAGGCCCCCUGGCAUUGACCGGCAUAGACAGUGAGCCUGGAGGAAGACUUGCCUUGGUCCCACUGUCCCCAGGCCAGUGUCCAUCAGCCAGGUGCCCAGCCCCCGGUGCGCUGAAGCUCGGCCCUCCCUGGCACUCUGGUCUCCUGCACUGAGCUGUGUGAGCUCUUCCACCCAUGAAGGCCCCCUGGCCUUGAGCAGCAUAGGU